UACGGGGGGGGGCAAGCGUUGUUCGGAAUUACUGGGCGUAAAGGGCUCGUAGGCGGCCAACUAAGUCAGACGUGAAAUCCCCAGGCUCAACCUGGGAACUGCGUCUGAUACUGGAUGGCUUGAAUCCGGGAGAGGGAUGCAGAAUUCCAGGUGUAGCGGUGAAAUGCGUAGAUAUCUGGAGGAAUACCGGUGGCGAAGGCGGCAUCCUGGACUGGUCCUGACACUCAGGAGCGAAAGCGUGGGGAGCGAUCCGG
rnacentral:rRNA from 1 species